ensembl:lncRNA CASC15 cancer susceptibility 15
GCAAUGGAGAACAUUUACAGAGGACUGUGGGUAAAGCAAAGUCUUCAAGGGAAGAUAACAAAGGAUGAAACAAUGGUGUUGUGUGACUUCCUAGUGUGAAUCAUGGCAAUACAGUGAAAGACAGUGAUUUACUGCUUUUGAGGGCGUGCAUGUAUAUGAUUAACGGAUGGAAGUGCAGGACUCCAAGAUUUACUUCCUUCCCUUUCCAGCAGAAUUACCUGAGACGAGUAAAAUCUACUGGUGGAGUCACUCCAUUAUUCUUAUCUGUGGAGAUCUAGAUCUUGAUUUGAAAGUUUCUGAGAAAAUCUUCAGCUCAGACUUGAGGGUCAACUUUACCAGCUGAAGUGACUACAUCCUGCCUGCUUUCAGCUCCAGUGGAAAAUGCAUUAAUCCCAGAGUCUCCGUGAGGUUUCCUGUUUGAUGACAUAAUCAGAAAAUCCUCCUCACAUUGCCCUUGGGGUUGCUGUCUGGAUGUUAUGUUGUCUUGGAUCUGCAUUUACUGCUCAACCACAUCUAAUUUGAUGUCCUCUGCAGAUUUAAAAUGUGUGCCUUCUUUUCCGUCACCAAGUCAUCCCUGGGUUACUACUGAACAUCCUUCUCAAUUCCCCCCGACCCAUGGAUGGCUGUUCUCCAUUGUCUGUUUCACCAGAUGUCCUCAAAACAAACAGACAGAAGAAGGAAGUGGCUAAUGACCCAAUCUAAUCUAGGUGGGAGAGAAAGUAAAGAGAGUCUCUUGGAAAACUGAAGAGAGUCACAGCAAGCCCACAGAGUUACACAGGAAUCAGGAGGAAUAAAAAUGUAAAGGAGCUGUGGAGUCCAAGUGUGACUGCCAAGAGGAAUCCAGCAAAGCCAAAAAGCCCAAGCAUGUAGCCCUGCCCGAAGCACGCCACACGCAUGGAAAACCCAGAGGAAAUGAGUGAGGAUCAAUGGGAAGAAGAGAGCCAGCCAGGUUCGAUGCCUUCUCCAUCCGUCAGUGAGGGUGUGGAGAGCCUGCAGGCGUGUGCCUCCCUCUGUAACUUGCUAUUCCUUGUGUAAUGUCAAGUGGAAGUGUGAAGCACCACAAACUGCUCUGAGCAGAGCCCACUUCCCUUCACCCACGGAGAGCGUGAAGCAGUUACACCAACAUCAAUCAAGGAAAACCCACAGGCUGAGCUCACACGGUUGAAGCAGGAAGUUGAAGAUUUGUCCAGGAGCAGAUAGCUGAAGAGAGAGAGAGAGAAGAGAGAACGGCUUACAGCUCAGGUCCUCUCUCCAUGCUUAGGAACCACUACAAAUGCUACUGCCUUGAGUCUCAUUUUGUUUCCCUCUGGAAACCACAUGUGUACCUUGUUUGCAACAGUAUGGUUCUGGAGACCAGAAGGCCAAAAUCAAAAGUAUGGGCAGGCUUGAUUUCUUUAGAAGACUCCAGCGGAGAACUGUGUCUCCUUGCUUCUGAUUCUACAUCUCCAUCCAUGGGCCACUGUUUCAGCAACCUCAGCCAGUGCAACACAACCUCAGCCAAGAAGAGUAUGCAGAGAAAGGAGUCCCCUACCUGCCACAAAACUGUUGUCUGAAAACUGUCUCAUAUUGUCUCAAGUUGUCAUUCAUUGUGAAUUAGACCUGUUUAACAUGUAAUCUGCAA